UGCAUUGGAUUGAGAACAACGUACAACUCUUAUCGAUAAGCCAUUGGAGGGCAAGUCUGGUGCCAGCAGCCGCGGUAAUUCCAGCUCCAAUAGCGUAUAUUAACGUUGUUGCAGUUAAAAAGCUCGUAGUUGAAGUGAGGGAGUGUGUGUUCAUGAGAGCUAGUCUCGAGUGUUCACAACCUCCCCCCUCCAAUCGGUGUAGUGGGGUAUUCAGUUAUUUCACUACUCCUUUGGUCGUUUACUGUGAGAAAAUUAGAGUGUUCAAAGCGGGCGUUUGUUUGAAUAGAUUAGCAUGGAAUAAUGAUUGAAGGCUUUCGUGUUCGAUUUGAUUGGUUUGUUCAUGGAAGCAAGGUUAAAAGGAACAGUUGGGGGUAUUCAUAUUCACUAGUUAGAGGUGAAAUUCUCGGAUUUAUGGAAGAUGAACAAGUGCGAAAGC
rnacentral:rRNA from 1 species